rnacentral:rRNA from 1 species
CACGUAGGGCGCGAGCGUUGUCCGGAAUUAUUGGGCGUAAAGAGCUCGUAGGCGGCCUGUUGCGUCCGCUGUGAAAGCCCGGGGCUUAACCCCGGGUCGGCAGUGGAUACGGGCAGGCUAGAGGUAGGUAGGGGAGAAUGGAAUUCCCGGUGUAGCGGUGAAAUGCGCAGAUAGUCGGAGGAACACCGGUGGCGAAGGCGGUUCUCUGGGCCUUACCUGACGCUGAGGAGCGAAAGCGUGGGGAGCGAACAGG